rnacentral:rRNA from 1 species
UGGGGAAUUUUGGACAAUGGGGGAAACCCUGAUCCAGCCAUCCCGCGUGUGCGAUGAAGGCCUUCGGGUUGUAAAGCACUUUUGGCAGGAAAGAAACGUCGCGGGUUAAUACCCCGCGAAACUGACGGUACCUGCAGAAUAAGCACCGGCUAACUACGUGCCAGCAGCCGCGGUAAUACGUAGGGUGCAAGCGUUAAUCGGAAUUACUGGGCGUAAAGCGUGCGCAGGCGGUUCGGAAAGAAAGAUGUGAAAUCCCAGAGCUUAACUUUGGAACUGCAUUUUUAACUACCGGGCUAGAGUGUGUCAGAGGGAGGUGGAAUUCCGCGUGUAGCAGUGAAAUGCGUAGAUAUGCGGAGGAACACCGAUGGCUGAGGAGCAGCCUCCUGGGAUAACACUGACGCUCAUGCACGAAAGCGUGGGGAGCAAACAGGAUUAGAUACCCUGGUAGUCCACGCCCUAAACGAUGUCAACUAGCUGUUGGGGCCUUCGGGCCUUGGUAGCGCAGCUAACGCGUGAAGUUGACCGCCUGGGGAGUACGGUCGCAAGAUUAAAACUUAAAUGAAUUGACGGGGGUCAUAGCUGUUU